rnacentral:rRNA from 1 species
AUUGAACGCUGGCGGCAGGCUUAACACAUGCAAGUCGAGCGGAGCGAGGGUGCUUGCACCUUAGCUUAGCGGCGGACGGGUGAGUAAUGCUUAGGAAUCUGCCUAUUAGUGGGGGACAACAUUCCGAAAGGAAUGCUAAUACCGCAUACGCCCUACGGGGGAAAGCAGGGGAUCUUCGGACCUUGCGCUAAUAGAUGAGCCUAAGUCGGAUUACCUAGUUGGUGGGGUAAAGGCCUACCAAGGCGACGAUCUGUAGCGGGUCUGAGAGGAUGAUCCGCCACACUGGGACUGAGACACGGCCCAGACUCCUACGGGAGGCAGCAGUGGGGAAUAUUGGACAAGGGGCGGAAGCCUGAUCCAGCCGUGCCGCGUGUGUGAAGAAGGCCUUUUGGUUGUAAAGCACUUUAAGCGAGGAGGAGGCUACUUAGAUUAAUACUCUGGGAUAGUGGACGUUACUCGCAGAAUAAGCACCGGCUAACUCUGUGCCAGCAGCCGCCGCCGU